rnacentral:lncRNA from 10 species
GCGAGGGCAGCCGGGGAGACUGGAGAAGCCUACUCUGUGCGGUGGAGCGACCCUGGAUAACAGCUCCAGGGACACUCCUUGCUCAAGACGCUGGGGUUAGACGUGCUCCGGCUACACAGCGGAGUGUCAGGGGGCCAAGAAUAUCCCUCUCCUUUUUCUUCCCUCCUGCUGGCUUUGGUUGCUUUCCUAAACAUUGCCCCGGACGGCAAAGUCGGCUUCACUCUUAGCCCUUGUUAGGGAAACGCUGGAUCCAAGAUUAGCUGCGCCCUUCUUUGCUUCAGUUGAACAAGCACCAGAGUCGCUGAUUUGGCAGUGUCGGAGCGGGAGGAACUGGUCUUAAAAAGGUACCUCCUGAACUCGGGAAGACUGCUAACCCUCCAGAUUAUUGUUUUGCAUCUGUGUGCUGUUCAUGAACAUACCUCAGAGCUGCUCACUGCAACUUGAAAUUUCAUUAUAUUUUUAAUCACAAAGUUUGCAUCCUACCCUUGAUACAUCUGUGUUUCCUUGACAAAAAGAGACAAACUCUGUAAAAUAUUUGAAGAGAUUUAUUCUGAGCCAAAUGAGUGACCAAUGGCGGGUGACAGCCCUCAGGAGAUUCUGAGAACACGUGCCCAAGGUGGUCAGGGUACAGCUUAGUUCUAUACAUUUUAGGGAGACAUGGGACAUCAAUCAAAUGCAUGUUAAGAUAUACACUGGUUCCAUCGGGAAAGGCAGGGCAAUUGGAAGGGGUGGGGGACGGGGUGGCUUCCAGGUCACAGCUAGAUUCAAAGAUUUUCUGAUUGGCAAUUGGUUGAAAAGUUACUGACUAAAGACUUAGGAAUGUCUUUAGAGAAUAAAGGGGUUGUGGAGACCAAGGUUUUAGUGAGAAUGGGAUAAUUGGUGUGGAAAACACAAUUUGGUGUCAGAAGUGUUGUGAAUACAUAGUUUUCCAAUUGAGUUUCUGGAUGAGAUUAACAUUUCAAUUGGUAGACUGAGUAUAGUACAUUGUCUUCCCCAAUGUGGGUGGGCCUCAGCCAAUCGACCGAAGACAGAAUAGAACAAAAAGGCUGACCUCCCAGGAGUAAGAGGGAGCUCCUACAGCCAAACAGCUUGAGCUGGAACACUUUUCCAGCCUUGGGCUCAGACUGGGACUGCACAUCAGUUUGCUUGCAUCUCCAGCUUGUCAACUGCAGAUCCUGAGACUUCUCAGCCUUCAUAAUUGUACGGGCAAAUUCCUUAUAAUAAAUCUUUUAUACACACACUCCCUAUUGGUUCUGUUUCUGUGAAUUACCCUAAUAUAGGAGGUAUGCUUAUCAAAAUUUUGUCUAGCUGUUAAGUCUGAAAGGGCAACUCACAACCAAGUAAACAGAAUAGAAUGAAGUGAAAAGGACUAGAUUAUCUGUUGACAAAUC